GCCGCAAUAGCUCAGUUGGGAGAGCGUUUGACUGAAGAUCAAAAUGUCCCCCGUUCAAUCCGGGGUUGCGGCA